rnacentral:lncRNA from 1 species
CCAGAGCAAAGAACACCUCAGUGUCUUGGUAGCCGGAUCUUUGCACAUUUUUGCCUCUGGUUGGCUCAGGAGCUGGUCUUCACUUAGUAACUGUGAUGCUCUGAUUGGCUGAGCUUCAAUCACAUUCUCUCUGCUGGAGGGCAGGAGCAGACCUACUGUCUUGGUAACUAGACACAGCAAGCUCUGCCUUUAACCAUUGCUCUGCAACCUCCUAUGACUUCCAGGAAUGGCCAGCAGCUGUUUUCCAGGACUAUGUCAUUGUCUUCAUCUCUACUGAGAACACUCUUCUUCAAGUUACAACAUGGUUCUUCCCAUCCUUCAGUGUUCUGAGGCUCUUCCUGAUACCCUACUUAAAACAGCAGACCUUCCCUCCUUCACAGAACUUCCAUGGAUGUGUGUCCAUACUGAUGGUCAUCAACUUUCCCAAUACUGGGACCCUUUAAUACAGCUCCUUAUACUGUGGUGACCCCCAACCAUAAAAUUAUUUCCAUUGCUACUUCAUAACUGUAAUUCUGCUACUGUUAUGAAUCGUAAUGUAAAUGUCUGUGUUUCUGAUGGUCUUAGGAAAUUCCUGUGAAAGGAUCAUUCGACCCCCAAAUGGGUCUCGACCCAUAGGUACAGUGAGGCAAUGACGCACAAGCCAAAGAGAAAAGCAAUGGUUCGAGGGCCGGCAGCAGCCAAUACACAAAGGGCUCCAACCGAGUCCCAGCUGAGGCAAGAUGCAGAGCAGUCUCUCACCAUGGGGGCACCAAGGUCUCUGGAACAGCUAACCUGGAACCUGGGCCUAGACUAGCAAUGGCGACAGCAGCAACAGGAGUCCCAAGAGCAAUGGGACGGUGACAGCUUUAUAGGGACCAGCAGGUCCUUUGGCAGGAGGCCUGCUUACUCUUCAAUCCCGAGGCCAGUGCUAGCAUGGCUGUACAAAGGCAAACUCUCCCUCGUGCUGGAGCCCUGGGAUUAAAGUGCCAGCACUUAGGUGCUGAACUAUUAGUGAGCUACUACACCAGCCUGGAAGAAGACUACAUUGGACCACCAUUGGAAGCAAUUAAGAGUUGAGCAUCUCUAGUUCUAAAACCUCUUGAGCAUAUGUCAAAAGCAAGUAUACAGAGACUAAGUGAUACCCUCCCCCACAAAAGAUACUUUUCGAAGUUUGAAAGUUUAUAGUCUUGCUUGUCUCACUAGUUCCUUUAUUUAGUUUUAUAAAU